rnacentral:lncRNA from 1 species
GAUGGGAGCGCAGCACCCCCCCAGGAGUCCCAGAGUCAGGGCUCAGGGCUGUCUGCAUGUCUGAGCCUCAUUCCUGGGUAGAGAGCCUCCUGCCAUGUCCAGCAGGGUUUCUAGGCUAUCGUUUCUGGGCCACAGAAGAUGAUUUUUUUUCUGGGUGGGGGCUUGAGUCUGGUCUGGGCCCCUUUUUUGGUCACCAGCCUGGGAGCAAGGAUUUGGAGAGAGACCCUACAGAGGGACAUCCGUGUCCUGCCUCUUCCUCGCUCCCCAGGAAAGCCUCGGAACUAUUGGGGGGGGGCCAGUAUUUUUUGGGUGCCACUGCCAGGCUUCCCACCACCAUUUUAUUUGGCAGUUAAAAGAAAAGAGGUGUUGGGAGUUCCCGUUGCGGCCCAACAGUUUAAGAACCUAACCUGCUGUAUCCUUGUAUCCUUGAGGAUGUGAGUUCGAUCCCUGGCCUUGCUCAGUGGGUUAAGGAUCUGGUGUUGCUAUGAGCUGUGGUGUAGAUCACGGAUGCAGCUGGGAUCCCGUGUUGCUGUGGCUGUGGUGUAGACCGGCAAGUGCAGCUCUGAUUUGAUCCCCUAGCCUGGGAACCUCCAUAUGCCGCGGGUGUGGCCCUAAAAAGAAGAAAAGGAGGUGUGGCCCCUGGAUGAUUUCUUUUGGGUGACGUUCUGGAAUCCCAAGGGAUUAGAAAGUGGUUGCCUCAGGAGGGAUCGACUGGAGGAAGCAUGGGAGAUCUUUCCUGGGCUCGGUGGAAAUGUAUCGUGGCUGCGUGCGGAUUACACAGUUAUCAAAACCCACCGUCUCCUUCCAAUCUGUUCAUUUUACUGUUUGCAAACUCAACCUCUGCCAGAAAAGGAGUCAGAUUAAAGAAAAAAAAAAGGGGGUUGCAGGGGCCUGGAGAACCUGGGGAGACACACACACACACACACACAUGCAUGCGCGCGUGCACGCCCAUACACACACACACACAUGCACAGACGCUUGCAGGCCCAUGUGCUUUUCCCUCCUAAAAUUCCUCAGCGAAUUUGUAAAAAGGACACAGGGUUUCCUUCCUCUUUGUACAAUAACUGACAUCCUUCCACAUGCAAGGAGAAAAUGACAGGAUGUGUGAUGAGGUGCCCGUGCGGGCUGGUGCCCUGUUCCUAAGUUCAAGGCCACUGGCCCGGUGCCCCUGGAGGGGGGCCAUCAAUGAAAGCAUGGACUGUACCUGGACCUCCUUCAAGCCCUCUGUGGACCCAGAGGGGCAUGGCUGUUUCUGUGGCCUGGAAGGCUGGAGGGACCCAGAAAAGGCUACAGUCCAUGCUGGGGACCUCUCAUGGUGCCAGAAAGCAAAGAAGAUCUCAAACAAAGCCCUUCAUAAUGGGAGGUUGAUUCCUUGCAAGGCGCUCUGGCCCUGGAUAGGGAGAAGGGAAGAUGCCCAUUCCUGCUGCCCAUCAGCCGGGCGGGCCGACUCAGGGCUCAUCUCAUCUGCGGCGGUGAAGUAGUUAAACUCCCAUCUCAGGCCCCGCUUGCAAUGAUUGGGAUUCUAUGAGUCUCGUCAGGGCCCCAGAAUUUUCUAUGUGCCCCAGGAGGGUCUGGAGAGAGAGGAGGAACCCACGCUGCCCUGCUGCUGUCGCCUCCCCCUGGAGCUGUGUUUCUGUCGCCUGUGCAGCAAGCCUUGGCAUCUGGGUGCCCUGGCAGGGCCCUGGUGCCUGGAGCAGCUGCUCUAAUUCAUGCAAAGGAAGGCGCCCAGGUUUGCCUUGUCUAUUUAUAGCUUAUUUAUGAAGAAGGAAAAACAAGGGCCCUGUUGCCUUAGCAACCGAGAGCAUCAUGGGCUGCUUUCCCUGCAAUGGGAAGAUGGCCAAGUCUCCUUGUGGGGGGCACCCCCGGAUGUGUGUGUAUCCUGCUAGAGGACGGGGGGUGAGCCUUCCAGGGCCAUCCCACGCUGGGCUUCUGGUUGGGGGAGGGAACUGGCCAGGCCCUUGGAAAAUCCAGGCUGGAACAGGGGCCAUGCGUGGCGGAACCCUCCAUGUGGGACACACCCUCCAGGCUCCUGGUCGCAGCGCUAACUCCUGUCCUCUGGGUGCUUACUCUGCCACCUCAGGAUGUUUCCUGGCUGUGCUCUGGCACAUGUCACUUAGGGCGUUUAGCACAGUGAACUGGAGAUGCUGUUCCCAGACCAGCGCCCCUUAAGGCUAUGAUCUGGCCCAGAGCCUGGCACCAAGGGAGGGUUCGAUAAAUACUGAACGAACAAAUGAAUGAAAGGUACGUUACAGGUUACAUGCCUAUUCUUACUCGGGAUGCACAAGGCAAGAGAAACACUGUCACAUGCUCUCAUGCUACAGAUAAGGAAACAGAUGAGAUGAAGAGACCAGAUGAAGAGCCCACAGCUGGGAACUAGCUGAGCCUUGCUUUUGGCAAAGCCCCAGGGAACAUGGGAACAUGGGAAUUGAGUUCCCGCUGGACCAUCAUCGCCAGGGGUCGGGGAAGCUGGACCGUCAUUGCCAGGGGUCAGGGAAGCUGGAUCAUCAUUGCUAAGUGCUGUAUCUGGUCUGGGACUGGGAGACCUGUGAUUUGAAUUGUGACACUGCCACUUAGUGGGGCGUGUAUCACCUUGAGCCAGUGACAUCAUUUCCCUGGGCCUCAGUUGCCUCAUUAUUUAUUUAUUUAUUUUUUAAUUUUUAGGGCUGCACCCGCGGCAUAUGGAGGUUCCCAGGCUAGGGGGUCUAAUUGGAGCUGUAGCUGCCGGCCUAUGCCACAGCCACAGCAACAUGUGAUCCAAGCCGUGUCUGCGAUCUUCACCACAGCUCACGGCAAAGCCAGAUCCUUAACCCACUGAGCAAGGCCAGGGAUCGAACCUGCGUCCUCGCGGAUGCCAGUCAUUCAUUUCCACAGAGCCGUGACGGGAACUCCGGUUGCUUCAUCUUUAAAGUGGAUCAGUGAUGCCUCAUCCUGAGGGACUGCCAGCUCCCUGAGAGCAGCACUGGGUCUGUCUCUUGAUCCUCUGUUUUCCUGGAGGUUGGCACGUUUUAAGUGCUUAGGAUGACCAGGAGAUCCUGUAUGUAAAGUGGGUUGGAGCAGAGCCCGGUCAUGGGGGGCAUGCAAGGAAUGUUGGCUCUUAACUUUAUUAUUAGGAAACUGAUGCACCGAGAGCCUCAUGGCUCCUCCGAGGUCACACAGCUAAGUCCAGAGCGGAAGUGGUAGUUUUACUAGUCGGUCAAUUUGGUGGCGUUGCGGGAUUAGUGGGACUGUGUCCAGGCCCCGGUUCUAGACCAGGGGGCAGCAGUCAUGUUGGACAGGAUCUCUGGGUGCCAGGGAGCUGCCCUCCCUACAGUUGGAGGUCGGGAGGCCCUGCCCCAAGGCUAAGUGGAGUUCAGGGGGCUUUGGGCUGGGACGCUCAGGGGCCAGAUCCAGGCUGCCUGAGGCUCUCUGUCGCCCUCUGCUGGGCUCCAGCUGCCUCUGCUGGGCCACCUCCAGAGGCAGAGGACCCACAGUGCCAACUCCUCAGCUCAGUCUGGGUGUGAAAACCAGACUAAAGAGACCCAUUAGGAAGACCGAUGCCCUGGGGCAAACAGAUCCUUCCCUGGCUCCUCCAGCUCCUGCCCAGACCCAAAGGCUGGACACAGGUGCCCCGCCACCAUCUUCAGAGUGGCCACAGGCUGCCUACUUCCUUUCCUGGGAGCCCCAUCAGACUCAUCACUAUUUCCUGAAACAAAACCUGCCAGGGCUUUCUGUCUGGUUUUGUUUGUUUCACACCCCAAGCUUUUGCUUGUGUGUCUGUCCCUUCUGCCUUUUCACCGCAUGUGCUCACACUCUGUCCUUCUGAGCCUCUCGGCUUCUGCAGCAUCCUGGCUCCACCCAGCCCUGGGCACCCUGGGCUGUGAGUCCUUCUGGGGACUUCUCUCCUCCCCGAGACUGUGCACCAUGAAGUGUAUUAGUUUCUUAGUGCUGCUGUAACAGAGUAUCAUAAAUUGGGUGGCUUAAGUAACAGAUAACAGAAAUUUAUCAUCUCACAGUUCUGGAGGCUAGAAGUCUGAAAUCAAGGUGUUGGCAGGUUGGUGCUUUCUGAGGGCUGUUCCAGGCCUCUUGCCUCACUCCUGCUGGUUUGCUGCCAAUCUUUGGUGUUCCUUGGCUUCAUCUCUGCCUUCACAUUCCCAUGGUGUCGUGCAAAUGUCUAUGUCUAAAUUUCCCCCUUUAAAAGGACCUCGGGGAGUGUCCAUUGUGGCUCAACAGAAAUGAAUCUGAUGAGUAUCCAUGGAGACCCAGGUGUGAUCCCUGGCCUCACUCAGUGGGUUAAGGAUCAGGCCUUGCUGUGAGCUGUGGUGUUGGUCACAGACAAGGCUCAGAUCCCGUGUUGCUGUGGCUGUGGCACAGGCCAGCAGCUACCGCUCCAAUUCAACCCCUAGCCUGGGCACCUCCAUAGGCUGUGGGUGCGACCCUAAACACACACACACACACACACACACACACACACACACACACACACUCGGAUCUUGGAGUUCCCAUUGAGGCUCAGCAGGUUAAGAACCCAACUAGUAUCCAUGAGGAUUUGGGUUUGAUCCCUGGCCUUGCUCAGUGCAUUAAGGAUCUGGCAUUGCCACAACCUGCGGCACAGGUCAUAGAUUCAGCUCAGAUCUGGUGUUGCUGUGGCUGUGGUAUAGGCCAAGCAGCUGCAGCUCUGAUUUGACCCCUAGCCUGGAAACUUCCAUAUACUGCAGGUGUGGCC